GGUGAUAGCUCAGUGGUGCUUAGUGUGCGUGCUUAGCAUGCACGAGGUCCUGGGUUCAAUCCCCAGCACCU
rnacentral:tRNA from 1 species